rnacentral:rRNA from 1 species
UACAUGGGGUGCAAACGUUGCUCGGAAUUAUUGGGCGUAAAGCGCACGUAGGCGGUUCGUUAAGUCGGAUGUGAAAGCCCUCGGCUCAACUGAGGAAGUGCACCCGAAACUGGCGAGCUUGAGUACGAAAGAGGAUCGCGGAAUUCCCGGUGUAGAGGUGAAAUUCGUAGAUAUCAGGAGGAACACCGGUGGCGAAGGCGGUUCUCUGGGCAUUACCUGACGCUGAGGAGCGAAAGUGUGGGGGGCGAACAGG